GGGGACCCCGUGGCCCUGACGGUGGCCGUGCCCCGCAGGCCUGCCUAACGCCCCCGCCUCCCUCAGCUACAGCAUCGUCAUCGAGGGCGAGAGAGGCAACCGGCAGAGGAUCUACUCGCUGGAGCAGCUGCUGCAGGAGGCGGUUCUCGAUGUCCGGCCGCAGUCCAGCCGGUUCCUCCCGCCCGGCACGAGGGUCUGCGCCUACUGGAGCCAGAAGUCCCGCUGCUUGUACCCGGGCAACGUGGUCCGAGGCAACUCCAGCGCAGAGGAGGAGGACCUGGACUCCGUGGUGGUGGAAUUUGAUGACGGGGACACGGGCCACAUCGCCGUCUCCAACAUCAGGCUGCUGCCUCCGGACUUCAGGAUCCAGUGCACGGAGCCCUCACCGGCCCUGCUGGUGUCCAGCGGCUGUCGCCGGACCAAGAAAGCAUCCUGUGAGGCCCCCCCGCCC